UACUUCCCAGGCUUGACCUCGGUAAAAUCC
rnacentral:piRNA from 1 species